rnacentral:rRNA from 1 species
CGGACGGGUGAGUAACGCGUGAGGAACCUGCCUCAGAGUGGGGAUAACACACCGAAAGGUGUGCUAAUACCGCAUAACAUAUGGGAGGGGCAUCCCUUUCAUAUCAAAGAUUUAUUGCUCUGAGAUGGCCUCGCGUCCAAUUAGCUAGUUGGCGGGGUAACGGCCCACCAAGGCGACGAUUGGUAGCCGGACUGAGAGGUUGAACGGCCACAUUGGGACUGAGACACGGCCCAGACUCCUACGGGAGGCAGCAG